rnacentral:rRNA from 1 species
CUGGACGGUGACUGACGCUGAGGCACGAAAGCAUAGGUAGCAAACAGGAUUAGAUACCCUGGUAGUCUAUGCCGUAAACGAUGGGCACUAGUCGGUGCGGGUAUUGACCCCUGCGCUGACGAAGCUAACGCAUUAAGUGCCCCGCCUGGGGAGUACGGCCGCAAGGCUAAAACUCAAAGGAAUUGACGGGGGCCCGCACAAGCGGUGGAGCAUGUGGAUUAAUUCGACGCAACGCGCAGAACCUUACCUAGCCUUGACAUGUUAGCGUACGACCCCCAAAAGGGUCUGACCUUCGGGAACGCUUACACAGGUGCUGCAUGGCUGUCGUCAGCUCGUGUCGUGAGAUGUUGGGUUAAGUCCCGCAACGAGUGCAACCCCUACCCUUAGUUACCAGCGGUUCGGCCGGGCACUCUAGGGGAACUGCCGGUUUUAAGCCGGAGGAAGGUGGGGAUGACGUCAAGUCCUCAUGGCCCUUACGGCUAGGGCUUCACACGUGCUACAAUGGUUGGUACAAAGGGUCGCAAUACCGCGAGGUGGAGCCAAUCCCAAAAAACCAAUCUCAGUUCGGAUUGGAGUCUGCAACUCGACUCCAUGAAGUCGGAAUCGCUAGUAAUCGUGGAUCAGCAUGCCACGGUGAAUACGUUCCCGGGCCUUGUACACACCGCCCGUCACACCAUGGGAGUUGAUUGGACCAGAAGUCGUCGAGCUAACCUUCGGGAGGCAGGCGCCCAAGGUCUGAUGAGCGACUGGGGUGAAGUCGUAACAAGGUAGCC